rnacentral:rRNA from 1 species
CAGCAGCCGCGGUAAUACCGGCGGCCCGAGUGGCGGUCACUAUUAUUGGGCUUAAAGCGUCCGUAGCCGGGUUGGGAAGUCCUCCGGGAAAUCUGGCCGCUUAACGGUCAGAAUGCCGGAGGAUACUCCCAGCCUAGGGAGCGGGAGAGGCCGAGGGGAUUCCCGGAGUAGGGGGGAAAUCCUAUAAUCCCGGGAGGACCACCUGUGGCGAAGGCGCUCGGCUGGAACGCGUCCGACGGUGAGGGACGAAGGCCAGGGGAGCAAACCGGAUUAGAUACCCGGGUAGUCCUGGCUGUAAACGAUGCGGACUUUGUGUCGGACAAGCUAUGAGCUUGUCCGGUGCCGGAGGGAAACCGUUAAGUCCGCCGCCUGGGGAGUACGGCCGCAAGGUUGAAACUUAAAGGAAUUGGCGGG